rnacentral:snRNA from 1 species
GUGAGGGCGAUCUGGCUGCGACAUCUGUCACCCCGUUGAUCGCCAGGGUUGAUUCGGGCUGAUCUGGCUGGCUAGGUGGUUGUCUCCUUUCCUCACCCCCUCCCAAAGCUGCGCGCUCUGUUGAAGAGGACAGCCUUUCCCAGAAUAGAGACAGACUAGUGUUCGGUCGAGGGUAUAUGAGUAGCUGCGCUCGCCUGCUAGGGCCUCCAAACAAGCUCUCAAGAUUAAACGGUAUCUUGCACUGAUAUAUGUGUUAAGAUAAGAUAUACAUAGACUUUAUCAUUGGAUUCAUAGU